UCGUUCUCUGCGCUGUCUGCGAGACAGAGUACGUCUAGACGGCAUAGCUUGUCGAAAUCCAUUUGCGAUGUCUGAGUUAAGAACAUUUUCGUCUUGUCAAACUCGGCCCCAGGACUGAGGAUCAUCCAUCCCAACUUGGUCCUCUCCGCCACUGGUUCUCCUUCUCCCCCGAUAAGAGGUUUCGUUGCUGUCUUUAUACGGGCAUAUUCACCGCUUCCGAGGAUGACUUGAAUGGGUAGUUGACUUUUCGUGUCGUGAUCGUCCAUAUGUACGGCGUUGAGGUGUUGAUAACGCUUUAUCAACUUCUCGUACUCAGGGUUUUCAAUGAACAAGAGCUCGCUCUUAUCGACCUUGUUUAAUCUCGUCAUCAUUUCGUGUCUUCCGUCGUGGGAAGUGAUGGUUACGUCAUAUUGCUCG